UCCCUGGUGGUCCAGUGGUUAGGACUCUGCACUUUUACUGCCAAGGGCACAGGUUCAAUCCCUGGUCCGGGGAG